GAUGGUAAAAACAAGACAGUUAAGCAAUGGUUAGAUGUUCGAGGAAAAAAAGGAGUAUACAGCAGGAAUUUCCAAAUACCCCAAAACUCAAAUAAUGGACAUUGGCGUAUAGUUGUUGAAAUCAUGAAAAGAAAAACUGAGAAAGAAUUUGAAGUCCGUAAAUAUGUGGUUCCAAAAUUCAAGGUGCAAAUUAACUGUCCAACCUUUUAUACCAGAUCAACAAGAAAUCUCAGAUGCAAAAUUAAAG